UACGUAGGGUGCAAGCGUUAAUCGGAAUUACUGGGCGUAAAGCGUGCGCAGGCGGUCUGUUGCGUCGGCUGUGAAAACCCGGGGCUCAACUCCGGGCCUGCAGCCGAUACGGGCAGACUAGAGUUCGGCAGGGGAGACUGGAAUUCCUGGUGUAGCGGUGAAAUGCGCAGAUAUCAGGAGGAACACCGGUGGCGAAGGCGGGUCUCUGGGCCGAUACUGACGCUGAGGAGCGAAAGCGUGGGGAGCGAACAGG
rnacentral:rRNA from 1 species